rnacentral:rRNA from 1 species
AUUGAACGCUGGCGGCAGGCCUAACACAUGCAAGUCGAGCGGAUGAAGGGAGCUUGCUCCUGGAUUCAGCGGCGGACGGGUGAGUAAUGCCUAGGAAUCUGCCUGGUAGUGGGGGAUAACGUCCGGAAACGGGCGCUAAUACCGCAUACGUCCAGAGGGAGAAAGUGGGGGAUCUUCGGACCUCACGCUAUCAGAUGAGCCUAGGUCGGAUUAGCUAGUUGGUGGGGUAAAGGCCUACCAAGGCGACGAUCCGUGACUGGUCUGAGAGGAUGAUCAGUCACACUGGAACUGAGACACGGUCCAGACUCCUACGGGAGGCAGCAGUGGGGAAUAUUGGACAAUGGGCGAAGGCCUGAUCCAGCCAGGCCGCGUGUGUGAAGAAGGUCUUCGGAUUGUAGAGCACUUUGAGUUGGGAGGAAGGGCAGUAAGUUAAUACGUUGCUGUUUUGACGUUACCAACAGAAUAAGCACCGGCUAACUUCGUG